AGAACGAGAUCCCGGAUACAAGCGGCCGAAAUGAGUUUUCUCCGCAGGGUGUCCGGGCUCUCCCUUAGAGAUAAGGUGAGAAGCUCGGUCAUCCGGGAGGGGCUCAGAGUCGAGCCGCUUCUCCUCCACAUCGAGAGGAGCCAGAUGAGGUGGCUUGGGCAUCUGAUUCGGAUGCCUCCUGAACGCCUCCCUGGUGAGGUGUUCCGGGCAUGUCCCACCGGGAGGAGACCCCGAGGAAGACCCAGGACAUGCUGGAGAGACUAUGUCACCCAGCUGGCCUGGGAACGACUCGGGAUCCCCCGGGGAGAGCUGGAAGAAGUAGCUAGGGAGAGGGAAGUCUGGGCUUCCCCGCUAAAGCUGUUGCCCCCGCGACCCGGCCCCGGAUAAGCGGUAGAAGAUGGAUGGAUGGAU